GACGAACGCUGGCGGCGUGCUUAACACAUGCAAGUCGAACGGUGAACUCCGCUUGCGGGGGGAUCAGUGGCGAACGGGUGAGUAACACGUGGGCAACCUGCCCUCAGCUCUGGGAUAACUCCAAGAAAUUGGGGCUAAUACCGGAUAUGACCGCUGACCGCAUGGUCUGGUGGUGGAAGGAUUUAUCGGCUGGGGAUGGGCCCGCGGCCUAUCAGCUUGUUGGUGGGGUAGUGGCCUACCAAGGCGACGACGGGUAGCCGGCCUGAGAGGGUGACCGGCCACACGGGGACUGAGAGACGGCCCAGAGUCCUACGGGAGGCAGCAGGGGGGAAUAUUACGCAAUGAGCGAAAGCCUGACGCAGCGACGCCGCGAGGGGGAUGACGGCCUUCGUGGGGUAAACCUCUUUCAGCAGGGACGAAGCUAAAGUGACGUUACCUGCAGAAGAAGCACCGGCCAACUACGUG
rnacentral:rRNA from 1 species